UUUACGCCGUUCAUUUUACUGACUGGCCCCUGUCAUUCAUAAUUAAAUAAAAUAAAAAAAACCCAACACAACACGGACCGGCUGCUGAUCCACAAAUUAAAAUGGAAAAAGCCUAGAUGGGGACUAGUUAGCCGGAGAGGAGCCCGAAGGAACCAAUGGAAGCGGUAUGGGAUCAAACAGGUGAGUAUUCGUUCCAACCCUAACCUAUAGCGGCCUUGUACUAAAAAUAUCGUCUUGAUUUUAGGUUCCUCACACACCACAGCUCUGGCAUGUCAACCGAGGCGGCAGCAUACCAUACAGAUGCUGGACGAAUGGAUAGAGUUGGCUCGUGGAAGCCCCCAGGUAAUCGGAUUACCAGAUCCUGUAAAAACUAUGUGUUACUAACAACAAUUCAAUUUAUAAAGAAAAAUGGUAGCUCCACCUCACAUCAUCCAGGACAAACAAAAAAACAUGGUAGUUAAAAUCUCGGUAUCAGGAAAUUGAAAAGACUGGGUUUGUGUUUGCCAACAAACCAGCCUGUCGGCUAAUCGGCGUGGAACAACGUCCCUACUUGCCGGACUCAACAGGAGAGACGGUCUAUUGUCCUGAAGAGAGGACUGGCCAACACAAAUUGGGCUAUUGAAGUGCUAUUGAAUGAAAUGGAUGUUUCCUGUUCCAUCCCUAUGGCCACAAGGCUAUGUCGAAGGCCAUCCAUACAUACUGCCUACUACAGACUCAGUGUCGCACAUAAGCAAUGGGCAGGAAACUCUGUCACAAUUAUAUCCUUCGCUUUCCUUGGGGCUUGCGACCAAUGUUGUAUUAAAACAUUAACUGUCGAGACACACAAGUACACUCACAAAGGACACAUCGUAACAGCCACUAUAAAAAAAUGAAACGGUCACCCGAAUUCUCGGGCCCCAUGUUGCGGGCGCCAUUCUUGUCGUGCUCCCGAAGGAACCCUGCUUUGCUUGGAGGGGAGGAAAUGAACUGACGGGCGCUGGCUGCUGGCGUUCGAGCACCGGCUGUGGCUCAGUCGAAAAGGGCGCGGUUCUUGCCAGUUCACCUCCUCCAAAGCAGGUGACAAAAAACAAAAAUCAACCAGCUGAUGGAGGGACACUGAUACCUACACAACAACCAUGAACAAUACUAGACAGACACACACUACCAUGUUGACACCACUUAGCAUUCAGCUGGUGUCAGGACGCACCCUCCCCACCAUGGUGCCCUCUUGCGUCAUAAUCUAUGAGGACACCCCAAAUACACCUGUUUGUCCUGGACCGGAAUAUGGGUCAUCGAGUCUUCCUCGGAUCUGGCCUAUGGAUGGCUAUUAAUGUUGAAGCUGGUUUCGUCUAGCUUCGGUGCUUGCCUUGGAGCGUCGUCAACCCUGCUUGCCGUUUACCCUAUUUCCUGUCCGUCCGUCUGAUAAUGGAUUUACUGGGGUCGUGCCUCUACAGAGCGGACAUCAAUGUGGGAGCAAUGGCUCAGUAUGUGGUCCAGUACCUGUCUGUCCGUCCGUGCACGUCAAUCGUAUUGUCUUGUUUCAAGUAUGGAAAUGGGAUUCGAAAGUGGGUACCUUGGGCGUUGUCGGCUGACCAACGCCGUGUUGCUAUCGCCUGACUGGCUGAUAUUCCAACGUUGGGACAGUGGAGGUGGAGUUUAUGUCUGGGUUAAUCUUUCCCCCCUUUUUAUUUUCAGGGAUUACUUUCUUUUCAGGUUUUCAACGUUUCUUUGCAGGUUUUCUUUUGCAGUUUAAAACAAUUUUUAAUAAUUUUUAGUUAUUUCAUUUUUCUCACGAAUUUCAGAGUUUUUCAAUACUUUUUCUCAAUAUUUCCUUUUCAGAUUUUUAAAUCUUUUUGUUUCAGGUUUUAAAUGUCUUCUUUUUCUUCUCUUAAUGUUCGUUCAAUUUGCCUUUAGAUUUACAAAAUUUUUUUAAUUAUUAGAUUUCUUUCAUUUCAGUUUCUUUUAUUUCAAAUUCACAAUCAUUUAACAAUUUCCUUGUAGAUUUAGCUGUCUUUGUUUGUAGAUUAUUGCCAUUCUAUUUAGCUUUAAGUUCAUUACAUUUUACUUUGCUUGUUUGGUAGCCCAGGCAAGAUUAUUAAAUAAAAAAAACACUAUUUCACCGCGG